rnacentral:rRNA from 1 species
AUGAAGCUGGAAUUGCUAGUAAUGGCAGGUCAGCAUACUGCCGUGAAUACGUUCCCGGGCCUUGUACACACCGCCCGUCACACCAUGAGAGUUGGAAAUACCCGAAGCCUGUGGGCUAACAGUAAUGAGGCAGCAGUCGAAGGUAGAGCCAAUGAUUGGGGUGAAGUCGUAACAAGGUACC